rnacentral:rRNA from 1 species
UGGGGAAUAUUGCACAAUGGGGGAAACCCUGAUGCAGCGACGCCGCGUGAGCGAAGAAGGUUUUCGAAUCGUAAAGCUCUGUCCUAUGAGAAGAUAAUGACGGUAUCAUAGGAGGAAGCCCCGGCUAAAUACGUGCCAGCAGCCGCGGUAAUACGUAUGGGGCGAGCGUUGUCCGGAAUUAUUGGGCGUAAAGGGUACGUAGGCGGUCUAUUAAGUCAGGUGUGAAAGCGUGAGGCUUAACCUCAUUAAGCACUUGAAACUGAUAGACUUGAGUGAAGGAGAGGAAAGUGGAAUUCCUAGUGUAGCGGUGAAAUGCGUAGAUAUUAGGAGGAAUACCGGUGGCGAAGGCGACUUUCUGGACUUUUACUAACGCUCAGGUACGAAAGCGUGGGGAGCAAACAGG